GAGGCAAAGACCGCCGAGGCAGAGCGAAUCGCUAAAAGCCGUCCCAGUUCGGAUUGCAGGCUGCAACCCGCCUGCAUGAAGUUGGAAUCGCUAGUAAUCGCGGAUCAGCAUGCCGCGGUGAAUACGUUCCCGGGGCUUGUACACACCGCCCGUCAAACCAUGGGAGUUUGGAGCACCCGAAGUCAGUGGCCUAACCGAAAGGGAGGAGCUCGCCGAAGGUGAGCCAGAUAACUGGGGUUAAGUCGUAACAAGGUAUC
rnacentral:rRNA from 1 species